AUGCGCAAGAGCGCGCCUCAGCAGCUGAGGGGCGGAGCUGGAGGCCCGACGCGCCGGAAAGGGAGGUCGUUUGGUGUGAAUGGAUUUGGCCAUAUUGGGCACCUGGUUACCAGGGCUGCCUUCUGUGCUGCACUUGGCAAAGUAAAGAUUGUUGCCAUCAACAACCCCUUUAUUGACCUCAACUACAUGGUCUACAUGUUCCAGGAUGACUCCACCCAUGGCAAAUUCAACGGCACAGUCAAGGCUGAGAAUGGGAAGCUUGUCAUCAACGGGAAGCCCAUCACCAUCUUCCAAAAGCAAGAUCCCACUAACAUCAAAUGGGGUGAUGUCGGUGCUGAGUAUGUCGUGGAGUCUACUGGCGUCUUCACCACCAUGGAGAAGGCCGGGGCCCACUUGAAGGGUGGGGCCAAAAGGGUCAUCAUCUCCUCCCCUUCUGCCGAUGCCCCCAUGUUUGUGAACCAUGAAAAAUAUGACAACUCACUCAAGAUUGUCAGCAAUGCAUUCUGCACCACCAACUGCUUAAACCACCCCCCCCCCNCCCNGGCCAAGGUCAUCCGUGACAAAUUUUGCAUCGUGGAAGGGCUCAUGACCACAGUCUAUGCCAUCACUGCCACUCAGAAGACUGUGGAUGGCCCCUCUGAAAAGCUGUGGCUUGAUGUCCUCCCUGCUCCCUUCAAUGACAACUUUGUAAAGCUCAUCUUCUGCUAUGGCAAUGAACACAGCUAA